rnacentral:rRNA from 1 species
GCUCAACCGGGGAGGGUCAUUGGAAACUGGGGAACUUGAGUGCAGAAGAGGAGAGUGGAAUUCCACGUGUAGCGGUGAAAUGCGUAGAGAUGUGGAGGAACACCAGUGGCGAAGGCGACUCUCUGGUCUGUAACUGACGCUGAGGCGCGAAAGCGUGGGGAGCGAACAGGAUUAGAUACCCUGGUAGUCCACGCCGUAAACGGUGAGUGCUAAGUGUUAGAGGGUUUCCGCCCUUUAGUGCUGCAGCAAACGCAUUAAGCACUCCGCCUGGGGAGUACGGUCGCAAGACUGAAACUCAAGGGAAUUGACGGGGGCCCGCACAAGCGGUGGAGCAUGUGGUUUAAUUCGAAGCAACGCGAAGAACCUUACCAGGUCUUGACAUCCUCUGACAACCCUAGAGAUAGGGCUUCCCCUUCGGGGGCAGAGUGACAGGUGGUGCAUGGUUGUCGUCAGCUCGUGUCGAGAGAUGUUGGGUUAAGUCCUGCAACGAGCGCAACCCUUGAUCUUAGUUGCCAGCAUUCAGUUGGGCACUCUAAGGUGACUGCCGGUGACAAACCGGAGGAAGGUGGGGAUGACGUCAAAUCAUCAUGCCCCUUAUGACCUGGGCUACACACGUGCUACAAUGGGCAGAACAAAG